rnacentral:tRNA from 1 species
GCCGACUUUGCAUAGCCCGGUAGUGCGGCUGACUUGUAAUCAGCAGGUCCUGAGUUCGAAUCUCAGAGUCGGCUCCA